UACGUAGGGUGCAAGCGUUGUCCGGAAUUAUUGGGCGUAAAGAGCUUGUAGGCGGUUUGUCGCGUCUGCUGUGAAAUUUCGGGGCUCAACCCCGAACUUGCAGUGGGUACGGGCAGACUAGAGUGUGGUAGGGGAGACUGGAAUUCCUGGUGUAGCGGUGAAAUGCGCAGAUAUCAGGAGGAACACCGGUGGCGAAGGCGGCCAUCUGGACGACUACUGACGCUGAGACGCGAAAGCGUGGGGAGCAAACAGG
rnacentral:rRNA from 1 species